rnacentral:rRNA from 1 species
GAUCGAAUACGGAGAUUCAUCGUCGACGGCGCUGGCUACCGUUGGUAUGCCAUGCUCCGGUUGGUCCCUGUGGUUCCACUAGCGAGGGCACGCCAUCUUCGGAUCGAACGUUCCGACGUCGUAGUCGUGCACUGCUCCCCUCAUAGGACGUAGCGACCCGUUGUGUGUCGGUCUACGGCCUGGGUGGGCGCCUGUCGCGUCGUUUCGGCGCACGCGGCAGACCCUCGGACGCCCGGUCGGCUGCACGACGAUACACUCACGAAAUCGGGCCGCAACCAAUCUAUUCUCGAAUGUAUUUGAGUCCGUCCCGCCGCAAUCUCGGUCAGUUCUUACCCGGAGGUACGGACCCAGUGCCGUCUCCGGGCAUGGCCAGCUGCUAGCAGGCGACGAACUAGGACUGGCCAAACCUAAGAUUAUCGGUCGGCGACGCUAUUGCUUUGGAUACUCUCAGGACCCGUCUUGAAACACGGUCCAAGGAAUCUAACGUGUGCGCGAGUCAUUGGGACUCAUGAACCUAAAAGCGAAAUGAAAUUGAAAGUCGGCUUUCGGGCCGAUCGAGGUAGGAUGGACCGCGUAACCUAUGCGGCCUCGCAUUCCCGGGACGUUACGCUCGCAUUGCGAGUGGAAGCGCACCUAGCGCAUA